rnacentral:rRNA from 1 species
UGGGGAAUAUUGCACAAUGGGCGCAAGCCUGAUGCAGCCAUGCCGCGUGUAUGAAGAAGGCCUUCGGGUUGUAAAGUACUUUCAGCGGGGAGGAAGGGAGUAAAGUUAAUACCUUUGCUCAUUGACGUUACCCGCAGAAGAAGCACCGGCUAACCCCGUGCCAGCAGCCGCGGUAAUACGGAGGGUGCAAGCGUUAAUCGGAAUUACUGGGCGUAAAGCGCACGCAGGCGGUUUGUUAAGUCAGAUGUGAAAUCCCCGGGCUCAACCUGGGAACUGCAUCUGAUACUGGCAAGCUUGAGUGUCGUAGAGGGGGGUAGAAUUCCAGGUGUAGCGGUGAGAUGCGUAGAGAUCUGGAGGAAUACCGGUGGCGAGGGCGGCCCCCUGGACGAAGACUGACGCUCAGGUGCGAAAGCGUGGGGAGCAAACAGG